rnacentral:rRNA from 1 species
GCCAGACUCCUACGGGAGGCAGCAGUGGGGAAUAUUGGGCAAUGGAGGCAACUCUUACCCAGCAAUGCCGCGUGAAUGAAGAAGGUCUUCGGAUUGUAAAGUUCUUUAAUUGGGGACGAAAAAAAUGACGGUACCCAAGGAAUAAGCCCCGGCUAACUACGUGCCAGCAGCCGCGGUAAUACGGAGGAUCCGAGCGUUAUCCGGAUUUAUUGGGUUUAAAGGGUGCGUAGGCGGUUUUUUAAGUUAGUGGUUAAACGUCGGGGCUUCACCUUGAUUUGCCAUUAAUACUGUAAGACUCGAGUUCAGACGAGGUAGGCGGAAUAAGUUAAGUAGCGGUGAAAUGCUUAGAUAUAACUUAGAACUCCGAUAGCGAAGGCAGCUUACCAGACUGCGACUGACGCUGAAGCACGAGAGCGUGGGUAGCGAACAGGAUUAGAUACCCCAGUA